UACGAAGGGGGCUAGCGUUGCUCGGAAUCACUGGGCGUAAAAGGGUGCGUAGGCGGGUCUUUAAGUCAGGGGUGAAAUCCUGGAGCUCAACUCCAGAACUGCCUUUGAUACUGAGGAUCUUGAGUUCGGGAGAGGUGAGUGGAACUGCGAGUGUAGAGGUGAAAUUCGUAGAUAUUCGCAAGAACACCAGUGGCGAAGGCGGCUCACUGGCCCGAGUACUGACGCUGAGGCACGAAAAGCGUGGGGAGCAAA
rnacentral:rRNA from 1 species